AGAGUUUGAUCCUGGCUCAGGAUGAACGCUGGCGGCGUGCCUAAUACAUGCAAGUCGAGCGAACGGACGAGAAGCUUGCUUCUCUGAUGUUAGCGGCGGACGGGUGAGUAACACGUGGAUAACCUACCUAUAAGACUGGGAUAACUUCGGGAAACCGGAGCUAAUACCGGAUAAUAUUUUGAACCGCAUGGUUCAAAAGUAAAAGACGGUCUUGCUGUCACUUAUAGAUGGAUCCGCGCUGCAUUAGCUAGUUGGUAAGGUAACGGCUUACCAAGGCAACGAUGCAUAGCCGACCUGAGAGGGUGAUCGGCCACACUGGAACUGAGACACGGUCCAGACUCCUACGGGAGGCAGCAGUAGGGAAUCUUCCGCAAUGGGCGAAAGCCUGACGGAGCAACGCCGCGUGAGUGAUGAAGGUCUUCGGAUCGUAAAACUCUGUUAUUAGGGAAGAACAUAUGUGUAAGUAACUGUGCACAUCUUGACGGUACCUAAUCAGAAAGCCACGGCUAACUACGUGCCAGCAGCCGCGGUAAUACGUAGGUGGCAAGCGUUAUCCGGAAUUAUUGGGCGUAAAGCGCGCGUAGGCGGUUUUUUAAGUCUGAUGUGAAAGCCCACGGCUCAACCGUGGAGGGUCAUUGGAAACUGGAAAACUUGAGUGCAGAAGAGGAAAGUGGAAUUCCAUGUGUAGCGGUGAAAUGCGCAGAGAUAUGGAGGAACACCAGUGGCGAAGGCGACUUUCUGGUCUGUAACUGACGCUGAUGUGCGAAAGCGUGGGGAUCAAACAGGAUUAGAUACCCUGGUAGUCCACGCCGUAAACGAUGAGUGCUAAGUGUUAGGGGGUUUCCGCCCCUUAGUGCUGCAGCUAACGCAUUAAGCACUCCGCCUGGGGAGUACGACCGCAAGGUUGAAACUCAAAGGAAUUGACGGGGACCCGCACAAGCGGUGGAGCAUGUGGUUUAAUUCGAAGCAACGCGAAGAACCUUACCAAAUCUUGACAUCCUUUGACAACUCUAGAGAUAGAGCCUUCCCCUUCGGGGGACAA
rnacentral:rRNA from 1 species